rnacentral:snRNA from 1 species
AUGCUUGCUUUGGCAGCACAUAUGCUAAAAAAUCGGAAUGAUACAGAGAAGCAUGGCCCCUGCUCAAGGAUGACACACAAAAUGGUGUCCUGUAUUUUU